rnacentral:tRNA from 1 species
GCGUGCGUAAUUUAAAAAAAAUAUCAAGCUGUGAUCCUGACUAUAGGAGAUACUCCUCGCACACCU